rnacentral:rRNA from 1 species
UACGUAGGGGGCAAGCGUUAUCCGGAUUUACUGGGUGUAAAGGGAGCGUAGACGGCAAGACAAGCCAGAUGUGAAAGGCGGGGGCUCAACCCCUGGACUGCAUUUGGAACUGCCUAGCUAGAGUGUCGGAGAGGUAAGUGGAAUUCCUAGUGUAGCGGUGAAAUGCGUAGAUAUUAGGAGGAACACCAGUGGCGAAGGCGGCUUACUGGACGACAACUGACGUUGAGGCUCGAAAGCGUGGGGAGCAAAC